GACGAACGCUGGCGGCGUGCCUAAUACAUGCAAGUCGAGCGGAGUAAAAAGCGUGCUUGCACGGUUUUUAUUUAGCGGCGAACGGGUGAGUAACACGUAGGUAACCUGGCCAUAAGACAGGGAUAACGCACGGAAACGUGGAGACUAAAACCAGAUAGGCUAUUUUCCACGCAUGGAGGGAGAUGAGAAAGGCGGAGCAAUCUGCCGCUUAUGGAUGGACCUGCGUCGCAUUAGCUAGUUGGAGUGGUAAAGGCACACCAAGGCGACGAUGCGUAGCCGACCUGAGAGGGUGAGCGGCCACACUGGGACUGAGACACGG
rnacentral:rRNA from 1 species